rnacentral:rRNA from 1 species
GACGAACGCUGGCGGCGUGCUUAACACAUGCAAGUCGAACGGAAAGGCCCUGCUUGCAGGGUACUCGAGUGGCGAACGGGUGAGUAACACGUGGGUGAUCUGCCCUGCACUUCGGGAUAAGCCUGGGAAACUGGUUCUAAUACCGGAUAGGAGCCAUUUUUAGUGUGAUGGUUGGAAAGUUUUUUCGGUGUAGGAUGAGCUGGCGGCCUAUCAGCUUGUUGGUGGGGUAAUGGACUACCAAGGCGGCGACGGGUAGCCGGACUGAGAGGGUGGACGGCCACAUUGGGACUGGGAUACGGCCCAGACUCCUACGGGGGGCAGAAGUGGGGAAGAUUGCACAAUGGGCGCAAGCCUGAUGCAGCGACGCCGCGUGGGGGAUGACGGCCUUCGGGUUGUAAACUCAUUUCGCUAGGGACGAAGCUUUUUGUGACGGUACCUAGAUAAGAAGCACCGGCUAACUACGUG